rnacentral:rRNA from 1 species
AGCAGCCGCGGUAAUUCCAGCUCCAAUAGCGUAUAUUAAAGUUGUUGCAGUUAAAAGGCUCGUAGUUGAAUUUCGGGGUUCAUACAUUGGUCGGGCUUUUUGGUCUGUACUUAUGUAAUGGAUUCCUACCUUCUGAAUAACCAGCAUGCCAUUAAUUUGGUGCGCCGGGAAGCAGAACUGUUACCUUGAAAAAAUUAGAGUGCUUAAAGCAGGCUAUCGCCUGAAUACAUUAGCAUGGAAUAAUGAAAUAGGACGGCAUGGUUCUAUUUUGUUGGUUUCUAGGAUCACCGUAAUGAUUAAUAGGGAUAGUUGGGGGCAUUAGUAUUCAAUUGUCAGAGGUGAAAUUCUUGGAUUAUUGAAGACUAACUUCUGCGAAAGCAUUUGCCAAGGAUGUUUUCAUUAAUCAAGAACG